rnacentral:rRNA from 1 species
GACGAACGCUGGCGGCGUGCUUAACACAUGCAAGUCGAACGGAAAGGCCCCAGCUUGCUGGAGUACUCGAGUGGCGAACGGGUGAGUAACACGUGGGUAAUCUGCCCUGCACUCUGGGAUAAGCCUGGGAAACUGGGUCUAAUACUGGAUAUGACCUUUCUCCUUAUGGGGUUUGGUGGAAAGUUUUUCGGUGUAGGAUGAGCCCGCGGCCUAUCAGCUUGUUGGUGGGGUGAUGGCCUACCAAGGCGACGACGGGUAGCCGGCCUGAGAGGGUGAUCGGCCACAUUGGGACUGAGAUACGGCCCAGACUCCUACGGGAGGCAGCAGUGGGGAAUAUUGCACAAUGGGCGGAAGCCUGAUGCAGCGACGCCGCGUGAGGGAUGACGGCCUUCGGGUUGUAAACCUCUUUCGGCAGGGACGAAGCGUAAGUGACGGUACCUGCAGAAGAAGCACCGGCUAACUAUGUG